CGGGCACCGGGGAAGGGGAUCCUGCUGCUUAUCGAUACUGGGAAACUCAAAACUCCCCCGAAUCCAAACACGAUUGGGAUAUUGAUACUGCUUUCUCUUUCUUGAUUAUGGGGGUGGUGGUGCGUGGCCGCUCUUAGGAGCGGGAGCGAUUUGUCUGGUUAAUUCCGAUAAAGAACCAAACUUUUGCCUGCUAAAUAGACUUGUCAUCCAUUGUGGGCCUUCUGAUAAGGUUCUGGGGCGGAUAAGUGCGGUAACUAGACGCAUAAAAUUGAUGAAAAGCCCGUCUGUGUCGCCCGUCGAUGGCCGGCGACGCUCAAGGACUACAAUGGGGGACGCCUUGUGCCCACAAACCCUGACCCCCAAGGAAUGUGCUAUCAUAUCGAUUUCCCUGUUAACAGUGAUUGACCAUGGACACUAUUGCUCAAGAACGAGGAACUCCUAAUAAGCGGCUGACUACAGCUCGGGUCUACGUCCUCCCUGCCCUUUGCACCCACCGCCCGUAUCUACUACCGAUUGCAU
rnacentral:rRNA from 1 species